rnacentral:rRNA from 1 species
ACUCAAAGGAAUAGACGGGGACCCGCACAAGCAGUGGAGUAUGUGGUUUAAUUCGAAGCAACGCGAAGAACCUUACCAGGUCUUGACAUCCCCAUGAAACAUGCAGAGAUGUAUGCCCUUUUCGGAGCAUGGGAGACAGGUGGUGCAUGGUUGUCGUCAGCUCGUGUCGUGAGAUGUUGGGUUAAGUCCCGCAACGAGCGCAACCCUUGGAUUUAGUUGCCAGCCUUAAGUUGGGCACUCUAGAUCGACUGCCGGUGACAAACCGGAGGAAGGCGGGGAUGACGUCAAAUCAUCAUGCCCCUUAUGACCUGGGCUACACACGUACUACAAUGGCCGGUACAACGGGAAGCGAAACCGCGAGGUGGAGCGAAUCUUUAGAAGCCGGUCUCAGUUCGGAUUGCAGGCUGCAACUCGCCUGCAUGAAGUCGGAAUUGCUAGUAAUCGCGGAUCAGCAUGCCGCGGUGAAUACGUUCCCGGGUCUUGCACACACCGCCCGU